rnacentral:rRNA from 1 species
CCUACGGGAGGCAGCAGUGGGGAAUAUUGGGCAUGGAGGCAACUUUGACCCCGCCAUGUCGCGGGAGGGAUGAAGGGAAUUUUAUUGUAAAGCUUUUUUCUUUGGAACGAAUUAAAGACGGUUACAAAGGAAUAAGCCCCGGCUAACUACGGUCCAGCAGCCGCGGUAAUACGUAGGGGGCAAUGGUUGUUCGGAAUGACUGGGCGUAAAGGGUGGGUAGGUGGUUUGAUAAGUUAGAUGUGUAAUACCCAGGGCUUAACUCGGGUGCUGCAUCUAAAACUGUUAGACUUGAGUACUGGAGAGGAUAGUGGAAUUCCUAGUGUAGCGGUGGAAUGCGUAGAUAUUAGGAGGAACAUCAGUGGCGAAGGCGACUAUCUGGACAGCAACUGACACUGAGGCACGAAAGCGUGGGGAGCAAACAGGAUUAGAUACCCCAGUAGUC